GACGAACGCUGGCGGCGUGCUUAACACAUGCAAGUCGAACGGAAAGGUCCUGCUUUUGUGGGGUGCUCGAGUGGCGACCGGGUGAGUAACACGUGGGUAACCUGUACCUGACUUUGGGAUAACUUCAGGCAACUGGGGCUAAUACCGGCUAGGAGCUCCUGCUGCAUGGUGGGGGCUGGUAAGUUUCGGCGGUUGGUGAUGGACCUGCGUCUUAACGGCUUGUUCGUGGGGUAGUGGCUUACGAAGGCUUUGACGGGUAGCCGGGCUGAGAGGGUGACCGUGCUCAUUGGGACUGGGAUACGGCCCAGACUCAUACGCGAGGGAGCAGUGGGGGAUAGUGCACUAUGGGCGGGAGCCUGAUGCAGCAACGCCGCGUCCGGGAUGGCGGCCUUCGGGUUGGAGUCCGCUUUCGCCUGUGACGAAGCGUGAGUGAAGAGAAUGGGUAGAGAAGCACCGGCUAACUACGUG
rnacentral:rRNA from 1 species